GUGGGAAGUAAUGUGGGAUGGGCCAGUGAGGCCAGGUUCUGGAGGAGCUGGAAGAUCAGGAAGAGAACCUUGGGCUCCAGAAGCGAACUCGUCCUACAUCUGGGAAAUGCUUGUAGAUGACUUCUCAGUUUGGUGUGAACAGUGAGUUUCCAGACCCAGGGAGGAACCCUCCCCUCACUUAAACUGGUUAACUCCUAUUCCUCCAAGGCCCAGCUCAGGCAUCCUUCUACAGAGGCUCUUCUCCGACCAAUCCCCUGUGAUUCACGGUUAACUGGUUCCUGCUCUCACAGCAUGUGCCACAUGACAAGGAAGAGGUCUCCUUACAGCUCAUUUGCUUAUAUGCUUCUGAUGUUGCUUCAUGUCCAUUCCUCACUGCUACUGCCCUAGUCCUCAUUAACCCAGAUUUGGAUUAUUGCAAAUGUUCUUCUCAUCUCUACUUUCUACCCCUUUCAAAUCACUCCAAAUAUCACUAUCAGAUUAGUUUUCU